AAAAUUGAUAAUAAGAUUAGACAUGUCAAAAUCUAAGAUCGAUUAAGUUGACAUAUGGCACAACUUUGUGAGUUACUAAAUUUGAAAACCAUACUUUAUAUAAUAAGACUUCUUUUUCUUUCGCACGUCGGUUUUUUUAGUUAUGACUUAUGACUAGAAAUCGAAAUA
rnacentral:sRNA from 1 species